AAAAGAUUAGUUAAACUAACAUUAGUAUGUCACGCUAAAAUUACUGGGCCUAUCCAGUAUCUUUUA
rnacentral:tRNA from 1 species